rnacentral:misc_RNA from 1 species
UACGUAGGUGACAAGCGUUGUCCGGAUUUAUUGGGCGUAAAGCGAGCGCAGGCGGUCUUUUAAGUCUGAUGUGAAAGCCCCCGGCUCAACCGGGGAGGGCCAUUGGAAACUGGGGAACUUGAGUACAGAAGAGGAAAGUGGAAUUCCAUGUGUAGCGGUGAAAUGCGUAGAUAUGUGGAGGAACACCAGUGGCGAAGGCGGCUCUCUGGUCUGUAACUGACGCUGAGGCGCGAAAGCGUGGGUAGCAAACAGG